AGCACCUAAGGACUGUUUAAUCCCGUUUCUCAAUUUAGUUGGUUGUUGGAUCAUCGUUGGAGUUACACAAAGAGGUUUUCGAUGGUGGGCAGAGGAACUAGCAGAAGCUGCACCAUAACAAGUGCGUCAUCAUAGCUGCUGCAUCAUGAUGGUGCCUCUUCAAAACACACAACACAUAUACAUACAAUUGCAGCAAUACCUAUAAUAUGGCACUAGAUGGCAGUCCUAACAAGGCAUGAGCACCUGGGACAAAUCCUGUUUAGGGCCCCCAGUGUAACGUAGACGAGGAGGCAUGAUUGCGGAUUGUUCUUCCAACGAUGCAGCAAGAACCCCGGAGACAAAUGUGCAGCCUCUCUCUGUUCCCUCGAUUCGAGCUGUGCGUCUCGUCUCCCUCGUUUUCCCCCUGGACUUAUUGCUGCCUUCCCGGAUCUCGACCUCUCGCCUGCUCACGGACUUCUGAGCCUGCCUUGCCCUCUCUGGACUUCCGCAUCUUUCGCAACACGCACCUUGCCUGCUCAGUGGCCUUGUGGUUAGAGUGUCCGCCCUGUGAUCGGUAGGUCGGGAGUUCAAACCCCGGCCUAGUCAUACCAAAGACUGUAAAAAUUGGACCCCUUACCUCCCUGCUUGACACUCAGCAUCAAGGGUUGGAAUUGAGGGUUAAAUCACCAAAAAUGAUUCCUGGGCGUGGCCACUGCUGCUGCUCACUGAUCCCCUCACCUCCCAGGGGGUGAUCAAGGGUGAUGGGUCAAAUGCAGAGAAUAAUUUCGCCACACAUAGUGUGUGUGUGACAA